AGUGAACGCUGGCGGUAGGCCUAACACAUGCAAGUCGAACGGCAGCACAGUAAGAGCUUGCUCUUACGGGUGGCGAGUGGCGGACGGGUGAGGAAUACAUCGGAAUCUACUUUUUCGUGGGGGAUAACGUAGGGAAACUUACGCUAAUACCGCAUACGACCUACGGGUGAAAGCAGGGGAUCUUCGGACCUUGCGCGAUUGAAUGAGCCGAUGUCGGAUUAGCUAGUUGGCGGGGUAAAGGCUCACCAAGGCGACGAUCCGUAGCUGGUCUGAGAGGAUGAUCGGCCACACUGGAACUGAGACACGGUCCAGACUCCUACGGGAGGCAGCAGUGGGGAAUAUUGCGAAAUGGGCGAAAGCCUGACGGAGCAACGCCGCGUGGGUGAAGAAGGUCUUCGGAUCGUAAAACUCUUUUAUUAGGAAAGAAAAAAAGUGUAAGUAACCCGGCAUGUCUUGACGGUACCUAAAGAGAAAGCCCCGGCUAACUACGUG
rnacentral:rRNA from 1 species